UCUUCGAGUCGUUGAUUUCACACUGCCGAGAAAAGCCUCUAGAUAGAAAAUAGGUGCCCGUACCGCAAACCGACACAGGUAGUCAAGAUGAGAAUUCUAAGGUGAGCGAGCGAACUCUCGUUAAGGAACUCGGCAAAAUGACCCCGUAACUUCGGGAGAAGGGGUGCUCUUUAGGGUUAACGCCCAGAAGAGCCGCAGUGAAUAGGCCCAAGCGACUGUUUAUCAAAAACACAGGUCUCUGCUAAACCGUAAGGUGAUGUAUAGGGGCUGACGCCUGCCCGGUGCUGGAAGGUUAAGAGGAGUGGUUAGCUUCUGCGAAGCUACGAAUCGAAGCCCCAGUAAACGGCGGCCGUAACUAUAACGGUCCUAAGGUAGCGAAAUUCCUUGUCGGGUAAGUUCCGACCCGCACGAAAGGCGUAACGAUUUGGGCACUGUCUCAACGAGAGACUCGGUGAAAUCAUAGUACCUGUGAAGAUGCAGGUUACCCGCGACAGGACGGAAAGACCCCGUGGAGCUUUACUGUAGCCUGAUAUUGAAAUUCGGCACAGCUUGUACAGGAUAGGUAGGAGCCUUUGAAACGUGAGCGCUAGCUUACGUGGAGGCGCUGGUGGGAUACUACCCUAGCUGUGUUGGCUUUCUAACCCGCACCACUUAUCGUGGUGGGAGACAGUGUCAGGCGGGCAGUUUGACUGGGGCGGUCGCCUCCUAAAAGGUAACGGAGGCGCUCAAAGGUUCCCUCAGAAUGGUUGGAAAUCAUUCAUAGAGUGUAAAGGCAUAAGGGAGCUUGACUGCGAGACCUACAAGUCGAGCAGGGUCGAAAGACGGACUUAGUGAUCCGGUGGUUCCGCAUGGAAGGGCCAUCGCUCAACGGAUAAAAGCUACCCCGGGGAUAACAGGCUUAUCUCCCCCAAGAGUUCACAUCGACGGGGAGGUUUGGCACCUCGAUGUCGGCUCAUCGCAUCCUGGGGCUGUAGUCGGUCCCAAGGGUUGGGCUGUUCGCCCAUUAAAGCGGUACGCGAGCUGGGUUCAGAACGUCGUGAGACAGUUCGGUCCCUAUCCGUCGUGGGCGUAGGAAAUUUGAGAGGAGCUGUCCUUAGUACGAGAGGACCGGGAUGGACAUACCUCUGGUGUACCAGUUGUCGUGCCAACGGCAUAGCUGGGUAGCUAUGUGUGGACGGGAUAAGUGCUGAAAGCAUCUAAGCAUGAAGCCCCCCUCAAGAUGAGAUUUCCCAACUUCGGUUAUAAGAUCCCUCAAAGAUGAUGAGGUUAAUAGGUUCGAGGUGGAAGCAUGGUGACAUGUGGAGCUGACGAAUACUAAUCGAUCGAAGACUUAAUCAA
rnacentral:rRNA from 1 species